UACGAAGGGAGCUAGCGUUGUUCGGAAUUACUGGGCGUAAAGGGCGCGUAGGCGGCUUGAUAAGUUUGGUGUGAAAGCCCUGGGCUUAACCUAGGAAUAGCAUUGAAUACUGUCAGGCUAGAGGCCGAGAGAGGGAAAUGGAAUUGCGAGUGUAGAGGUGAAAUUCGUAGAUAUUCGCAAGAACACCAGUGGCGAAGGCGAUUUCCUGGCUCGGUACUGACGCUAAGGCGCGAAAGCGUGGGGAGCAAACAGG
rnacentral:rRNA from 1 species